GGCCCAAAUGUGAAGUAGAGUAGAUUAGAAGGAUCAUCUGACCCUACUAAACUACCCUACUUCGAGUUUGUGCCC
rfam:Haemonchus contortus, ISE/inbred ISE, WGS project CAVP01000000 data, contig: Hcontortus_10457